UGCAUUCACAAAGAAGAAGAAAACAUGCUAGUGAGAGGAUAACAUAUGUGUCCCUCCUCCACCAGGAACAUAACUUGUCUUCUUGAAGUCCAAAAUUUUCUCUCACUGCAUUGCUGGCAGCCCAGCACUCCACGUUGCAAAGUCCUGUCAUACUCUUUUUGCCAUCAUCCAUUACGUCUUCUGACAACUCUGUGCUCUUCCUGUCACACUGACAGAAGUCACUGGAGCUCUCCAGUAAGUUGAUGCAGCAUUUGAUAAUUAGUGCAAGCCAGGCCAUCCCAAAGAGGAUCCAAAUAGAGACUACAUUCUUGUACCAGCUUGGAUAGGUGCGGUCUGGGUUCAUCCCUAGAAAGGAAACAUCACAAACAUUAAGACAUGGAGUGAAGACUGCCUCAAAAAGGCAUUUCAUGUAAAGCAAAGAGAAAGGAGAUAAAUAUGAUCUAAUAUUAGCAAUUCCUACCUAUGUAGGACUAAGAACUAUUAAGAAUCAUGAAAAACUAAACCCUAAAACAGGGCUGUU